GUGGCCUUAUUAAAAUCAGCCAAACAAAGUAUGCCUUUUCCUGUCGGUACAUAAGAAUGGUGCAGAUGGCAGAUUAUAUGAUGAGGGAAGUAAAACACAGAGGAAGAAAUUCACUGCCUAAUGAUGAAGAGGAAUUUGAAGUCCCGCCGUGGGAACCUCACCAGAGCCUGGUCAGAGCAACACCACCAGUCCAAUCGCAGGCAACGUGGAGAAACAAGGAAUGCCAGAACAGCCUCAGCACUAGUGCACAGAGCAUUAAGGAUGCAUAAUGAAGGAGCCUGUGAG
rnacentral:lncRNA from 1 species